UGUACAAACAAGUGCCUUCAUGUUUACAGUGCUGCACAUUGUUUCCGAGUGUGAAAUUUUUACCAGUGCCCAAGGCAAAUCCACCUACGCCGUACUGGGAGUAUGGCAAUUGUGAGGCCAUCAGUAAUCUUCUGAAUGCCGAGAUCAGGUUUAAUGAGCUAGCGCAGGAUCUCAAUACCAGCUUAGUGCCUAGUCUAGAGACGUUGCUUCCAUUCCGAGAAGAACAACUGAGACGGAAUCUGGAAAGUUGCCAGUUUGACAUAAACCAAGAGUUCAAGUUUUAUAAUCCAGAAUAGCUGCUACACUGUAACUCCCCAAUCUCUUAGUAAGUCGCUGAUGGUUUUUAAAUAAUCAUCUUGCUAUAUUUUCAUUUGACAAAUAUAUGAUUAUAUGCUGCUUUUGGCAAAAGUGUCUGCUAUAUAAAUGUAAACGUCCAAAUGCAAAAGCGUACAUCUCUUAAAACUCACGCCUAAACAAUUUACAAAAUAGAUACCUGACUAUAUCUAAAUUUGGAUUUGUUAUUUAUAGACAGCCUUUUUACAUUUAAUAAUUCUUGUGUUUAUCAUUGGUUUGACCCUUCUAACUUUAAUAGCAACGAAAGAUAAAGAAAAUGACCUUUUAUUCUUCAGUUUAUUCAGCAAUACACACGUGCUGAUUUUUUUUAGUUUGUAAAAAAACUACAAUUUUACUAUGCUUAUUGCCUACUUUUACUUAUGUUAUUCUUUGUUGGGUUUAUUUCUACCUGGUAUAGUUUGCUGUAUUUAUUCAUCCCUUCUGUAAUACAGGACAAAGAAAUUCACUCAUUUAAUCAUAUAGUGAUUUUAUUGUUCAUUACAUUAAGUAGCAUAGUCACUGUCAUAAAUUGCUCCACUGGAGAUCCCCUAACCUCCCUCCAGACAGAACAGCCAUGGUGUUGCAAAAACAAAUAGAGCAUAUGUCUUGCCAGCAGGCCCAACCUGACCUUCAUAGUCCAGGAGGAACCCUCACAUAAUUACAGAUGACACUUAGGGAGGAGGUCUCUCCUCUGCUAUGAAGUGUUACUUCACCAUUCAAGUGAGGUGGUUAAAACAGACCUUCGGUUCUUCUGUCAAAACAUUUACAUUUACAUGUGUUGCUGUGAAUGAUCCAUUUUCUCAAACAUGCCAACAAACACUUCAUUUGGCUUAUUCCUAGCUAGGUGUCGGGUACUUUAACUCGAGGGCUUUCCUGGGUUGAAGCUUAACAACCUCUGCAGAAAGGGGCCCUCAACCAACCUGGUUCAUUAUAUUUUAAACCUAAAGUUGCCACCCAUCAUAUACAUUACAGGAAAAUGACACAGUGUGCCCCUUUUCGAAUUAAAAUGGCAUGCGUCUGCAAGCCCAUCACCCACCAGCAUUUUUAAAAAUGUUAUUGUUAUUUUUUAUUUUAUUUAUCCAUUAUUUUACCAGAAAUGUCCCAUUGAGAUACAUUAUCUCUUCUUCCAGGGAGUCCUGGCCAAGGUGGCAGCAAUACGUUACAAAAGUUCCAACAUAAACAAACAACUUACACAUAGAACAUGUAAUAUUAACACCUAAAGACAUACAAACAUACCAAUGAAUACAAUACAAUAAACACAGACUAUCAAACUAAAAUACAUGGAAAUUCCAAUUGUCAAAAAAGGCAGAGUGAGUUAUGGGCAAGGAGAAGAGAAAAUAUAUAUAUAAGUAUAUGGGCUACAAAUUAUGAAAAACAAUGGCAUUGUUGUAUAAGAACUGAUUUUAAAAGAUUUUUGAAAACAUUUAGAGAGGGUAGGGAGUCCAAAUUUAGAAUGUUUUGUAAUGAAUUCCACUCAUGUGGUGCAUAUGAGCAAAAAGCGGAUUUGCCUAGCUCUGUCCGAGUUAUUGAAGAACAAAGGAGGAGUUUUACUGAUGAACACGUACUGUAAGUAUUAGUGUGAAGUGUCAGUAGAUUACAUAUGUACUGAGGUAGUUUACCCAUUAAAGCCAUUGCAGUAAAUACUAGGCAGUGAGAUUUCCUUCUAAGCUGUAAUGAUGUCCAUUGCACCAUGUCAUAAAGAUCACAGUGAUGUGUUCUUGCUGCAGCACCAGUUACAAAUUUCAAAGCAGAAUGAUAAACAACGUCCAGCUUUUUCAGAUGGGCUGUGGAUGCAUGCAUGUAUAUUAUAUCACCAUAAUCUAAUAUUGAUAGGAAAGCGCUCAGUACUUUCUGGCAGUAAAAGGAAAGCAUUUUUUCAAACGAUAAUAAAAACCUAAUUUAGGACGAAGCUUUUUCAACAUACUUUCUAUAUGGACUCCAAAUGACAGCUUGUCAUCAAGCCAGAUUCCAAGAUAUUUGUAAGAGUUUACCCUUUCUAGUUUAGUGCCAUCUAGUGUUAAAAGAGUAUACACAGAGGAAGAGCAUGAGUGAUUAAAAAUCAUAAAUUUAGUUUUUUUUAGCAUUUAACACCAGUUUCGAUUUGAGAAGGGUCAAUUGUAAGAAUUUGAAUGCACGCUGUAAGGAAUCCAUUGCUACUUGCAAUGAUGAUGCAGUUGUAUAAAGAAUUGUAUCAUCAGCAUAUAGGUGAAUUUUUGCUGGGUCUAACCCCAUGCACAUAUUAUUUAUGUAAAUAGAGAAUAAAACAGGCCCUAAAAUUGAACCUUGUGGCACACCAGUUUUUACUGUAAGUAAUGUAGAUCUAAAACCUUCUAUCACUACACACUGAGUUCUCCCAUUUAAGUAGUUGGAGAACCAGUCAAAAACAGUGCUACUAAAACCUAUAGCCUGUAAUCUUUGUUAAACAAGACCAUGGUCAACAGUAUCAAAUGCUUUUGUUAAAUCUAUAAAUAGUACAGCACAUGAUUUUUUGUUGUCCAAAGCAGUGAUUAUAUCAUUUGUGACAGAAGUUACUGCAGUUAUUGUACUGUGGCCCUGUCUAAAACCAGACUGACUAGGGGAUAAUAUUAUUUUCAGACAAAAAGGUUUUAAGUUGUUCAUUUAUAAUAGAUUCAAAUAUUUUAGCUGUAACAGACAACCUGGAAAUAGGACGAUAAUUGUCUAAAUAGGAAGGAUUGCCUCCUUUUAAUAAUGGGAGGACCAAUGCUGACUUCCAGGAGCUAGGGAUUACCCCACUGCAUAAACUAAGAUUAAAAAUAGAGGCAAUAGGACCAGCAAUCAAAUCUGCAGCUGGCUUUCAAAAGUAAGGUUCAAUUUGGUCUGGCCCAGCAGACGUUUUGCAAUCUAAAUUUAACAAAGCAUUGCAGACCUGAGCAGAAGAGAUGGAGGAGAAAUUAAAGGUCAUAAGACUAUUGGAGUUGGUGCCUAGACAAUCCCCACAAGUUCCAGUGAGACUAGACUGAGUAUUUAUACCAGCAUCAAUGAAGUGCUUAUUAAAGGCAUCUACAGUACUAUGUUUUGUUUACCCUUUAUAUCAUUUUGAUUGAUAAUUAGACAAUCAGGAAGAGUAGGAGGCACCAUGACUGCUACCGUUGAUUUAAUCAAUUUCCAAAAAUUUUUAGGAUCACUUAAAUGAUUAUCUAUUGGGUGAAGGUAGUAUUCGCUUUUUGUAUUUUUUAUAAGCGUAGUGCAUUUGUUUCUCAGCGCUCGGUAAUCUGCCCAGAGUUUGGCCUCAUUACUGACUUUACCUUUGACCCAAGCAGCGUCUCUUUCCCUAACAGCAGCUGCAAUAGUAUUAUUGAACCAUGGGUUAUCUUUACCACUGACUCUAAACUUUCUCAUAGGUGCAUGCUUAUUAAUUAUGGACAGAAGUGUUUUUUAAAAAGUUCCAUGCACAUUCUACAUCCACAAUUUCAUUAACAAGGUUUAAAUCACUAUGAAAUACAUCAUGCAGGAAAGCCUGCCCAUCGAAGCGUUUGUAAUUCCUUUUAAAAAUAAAACAUGACUUGGUUUUGCGGAGUUUACAACUUCUUACACAUGCUAUUGUACAGUGAUCACUGACAUCAUUACAGAAUAUUCCAACAGCAGAAUAUUUAUGUGGUGCAUUUGUUAGAAUGAUGUCCAACAAAGUGGACUUGUCCAUGCAUUUCGGGUUUAAACGUGUCGGAGACUGUAUCAGCUGCGUUAAGUGCGCAGCGUCGCAGAUGUCCUUAAGUGCAUUCGAAGAAGUUGACAGCCAGUCCCAAUUUAUAUCCCCUAAAAGAAUAAGCUCUCUGUCGGAUAAGUUUUGUAGAAGGUCCAAGAGAAAAGUAGUGGCCUCGGGUAAGGCUGACGGUGGGCGAUAGCAGCCUACUACUGCCAGGUCAGCGCCGCUGGGGAGAUUUAAUUUAAUAGCUGCUAAUUCGAGGGAUUUAGGUUUGCUAAUCGAUUUAAUGAGGGAACAGUUCAAAGUGCUCUUAACGUAGAUCGCAACCCCCCCUCCUUUGCUUGCGCGAUCUGAUCUAAAAACAUUAUAUCCCCCGAUGUGUAUCAUAGCGUUCGAAAUUGUCGGUUUCAGCCAAGUUUCAGACAGAACCAUGACGUUGCAUUCAGUCAACUUUGCCCACAGACGAAUAGCAUCCUUUUUACUAAUCAAGCUGCGCACAUUGGCAUGAAUAAAACGUAAUCCACAACUAUCUUUAAGAUCGCCUGAAUUUUGAAGUUGUCAGCUCAGGGCCUGGGUUGGGAUGAAUGUUACCUGACAGGAGUAACAGGAGAAUCAUCCAGUCAGUCUUUAUUUGAUAGCGGUGGUAAAGGUGGUGGCCUGAUGGGGUCCUCCGUCUGUGUUUACAAACAGUAGAGCCGAAUUCAGGCAAGCACAUCUCUUGUAAU